UAAAGGGACUUGCUGUGAUGCUGCUAUAAGCUGCUUUGCGGAACGAUGGAUGUCAAGAACGAUGGCAUCGUAAAACAGGAACCCCAGGAAUGGCUUUCACCUGAAGGAAGGCGAUGAAUUGACUAGGAGCUCGUUGUAUAAUAUCUCCUCGGGAAGCGUGACGGAGGCAAUCGCUGCUAGUCAGUGCUGUGGCACGUAUCGCUCCAUCUGAGAACAAGCACCUUUUAAGGCAAAUAUAUACGUAUUGGCUGUUGUGGAGUUCACAGAAUGCUGACCAGAUACAGGUAAAGCACGCCCAAACCGAAGGAUGACUAUCAAUAGAACCUGACCGUCUUGGGAACAUAAUGCGGGAAUGUACCGGUGACAAAAUGCUACGGAUCCCAUUUAUCAGCUGUGACAAAAGCCGUUAAUGUACCAUUAAGGGUGUUCCGGCAACAAAAACCCGCGAGGACUACAACAUUCACGCUGAAGGUGAUCCCGAACGGGUUUUGGCGUUUUCUGCUGCAAAACAACCCCGCUGCAGUGCCGAUGGUUAUAUUCGUCAUCAACAAGUGGAAAAAGCAAACACUGUCGAAAAAGAAUAAUUUCCCGUUUGAACGAGAGCAAAACUGGUUGCGAGUAG